rnacentral:rRNA from 1 species
GUGAGGAAUAUUGCGCAAUGGAGGCAACUCUGACGCAGCCAUGCCGCGUGCAGGAAGAAGGCGCUACGCGUUGUAAACUGCUUUUAACCGGGAAGAAACCCCAGGACGUGUCCUGGGUUGACGGUACCGGAGGAAUAAGCACCGGCUAACUUCGUGCCAGCAGCCGCGGUAAUACGAAGGGUGCAAGCGUUAUCCGGAUUCAUUGGGUUUAAAGGGUGCGUAGGCGGAGCGUUAAGUCAGUGGUGAAAUCCUGCAGCUUAACUGUAGACUUGCCAUUGAUACUGGCGCUCUUGAGUGCGCUUGAAGUGGGCGGAAUGUGCCGUGUAGCGGUGAAAUGCUUAGAUAUGGCACAGAACACCAAUUGCGAAGGCAGCUCACUAAGGCGAUACUGACGCUGAGGCACGAAAGCGUGGGGAUCGAACAGGAUUAGAAACCCCUGAGUCC